GGGUUGUACAUUCUGCUUGCCAGGCUGAGGCAGUGGGAAAGGCAUCAGUGAGAUAAGCCAUGGAAGUACAGUACUGGGAACUAAGAAAAGCAUCAAACACUGUUUCUCCUGCGGUCGAUGUAUUAUUUUUAGCCCCACCAACAUCUUCCUAUGAUGAAGAUUAUUAUACACCCAUAAAAAGAAAGAAGAGGAAAAAGAGGAGGCGCUACUACUAAUUAAAAGCCUCCAUUAUACUCCAGUGCCUCUGUGGCAAGCCAGGAGGGUUCUCCAGGAUUGAACUACAACUGCCUGGUGUCUGCUUGCCCAGAGGACUGGUAUGCAGCUGAUGAAUCAUAUUUGGUGUUUGCUACAGGAACAAACUGCUGCAAAGAAGAUCAAGCUCGCCCCCAAAGAUCUAUUUCUGUUCAGGUCAAGGUCCUUGUACCUCUACACUAUUCAGGCUUCAGGAGCAGGCUGCCAUCAAGAAGAGGCUGAAACCUAGGGAAAGAUGCCUCUCUAUCCAUGGGCAUAUGAUGUGUUGGACCUCAGCUCUGAGUAGUCAGUAGCCAACAUCCUGGUCAGCGAGGAAAGCCUAGCCCUGUCUCUAGGAAGAAUGCGAAUCACAUCACCCUAGCCUUCAUUCAAGGUCUCCUCACUGAAGCUGGAUCAAGGUUUGGAGGCAACUGGGCCCACAUUCUCCUUUCUCUGCAACUGCCUAUGCUGGAGUAUGGAUGCACAUGGCAACUCCUGGUAUUUUGAAGUGCCUAGGAUUCCAAAACAAAUCACUAAUGUGUGUACAGCAAGUGUUUCCACAUGCUGAGCCUCUGUGCACCUUGUAGCUUACUUUACACAACCAUUUCAGGUGAACAUUCAUGUUCCUCUAGAUUAUUGCUUAAAGUUAGAGCAUGACACGUUUCAUAACUGUGAAUAAAAAGGAAUAAAAUCAAUUUAAAAUUU